rnacentral:rRNA from 1 species
GAGAGUUUGAUUCUGGCUCAGGAUGAACGCUGGCGGCGUGCUUAACACAUGCAAGUCGAGCGCGGUCCCUUUGGUGCUUGCACCAAAGAAGACUGAGCGGCGGACGGGUGAGUAACGCGUGGGUAACCUGCCCUAUACACAUGGAUAACAUGCUGAAAAGCAUACUAAUACAUGAUAACAUACACUGAUGGCAUCUUCGGUGUAUCAAAGCGUUAGCGGUAUAGGAUGGACCCGCGUCAGAUUAGCUAGUUGGUGGGGUAAAAGCCUACCAAGGCCACGAUCAGUAGCCGACCUGAGAGGGUGAUCGGCCACAUUGGAACUGAGACACGGUCCAAACUCCUACGGGAGGCAGCAGUGGGGAAUAUUGCACAAUGGGCGAAAGCCUGAUGCAGCAACGCCGCGUGAACGAUGAAGGUCUUCGGAUCGUAAAGUUCUGUCGCAGGGGAAGAUAAUGACGGUACCCUGUGAGGAAGCACCGGCUAACUA